GCAAACUUGGUCAUUUAGAGGAAGUAAAAGUCGUAACAAGGUCUCCGUUGGUGAACCAGCGGAGGGAUCAUUACAGGAGCUUUACAACUCCCUAAACCAAUGCCUAUCUACCUUUUGUUGCUUUGGCAGGCGGCCCCUGGGAGGGGCUGUAGCCUUCUUGGCGCCUGCCAGAGGUUUUUACAAUUCUGUUUUAAUUGCUAUCUGAGUCACUACAAAAAUUAUUUAAAACUUUCAACAACGGAUCUCUUGGUUCUGGCAUCGAUGAAGAACGCAGC
rnacentral:misc_RNA from 1 species